rnacentral:rRNA from 1 species
AUUGAACGCUGGCGGCAGGCCUAACACAUGCAAGUCGGGCGAGUGGCGGACGGGUGAGUAAUGUCUGGGAAUCUGCCCGAUGGAGGGGGAUAACUACUGGAAACGGUAGCUAAUACCGCAUACCAUCAGAUGUACCCAUAUGGGAUUAGCUUGUAGGUGGGGUAACGGCUCACCUAGGCGACGAUCCCUAGCUGGUCUGAGAGGAUGACCAGCCACACUGGAACUGAGACACGGUCCAGACUCCUACGGGAGGCAGCAGUGGGGAAUAUUGCACAAUGGGCGCAAGCCUGAUGCAGCCAUGCCGCGUGUAUGAAGAAGGCCUUCGGGUUGUAAAGUACUUUCAGUCGGGAGGCGUUACUCGCAGAAGAAGCACCGGCUAACUCCGUGCCAGCAGCCGCGGUAAUUC